CUUUCCCUGCCUCGCGACACCCAGACCGAGACCUCGGGAAUGCUCCGGCCCCCUGCCGCCGUCUCCCGGCCCGGUUCUCUUUCACUAAAAAUAGGCGAUUCUGGCAGCGCCCCUCCUAUGGGGCCUUGGGGGCAAUUGGGGUUUUGUCUUAGAGCCCGUGUGGACCCGGAUGGCGACGGCAGCCCGAGGAGAGGGAGGGCUGACUGUAUGGUUGGCUUUCCGACGACCAGACCCUGCAGGAUUCGGCCUUUCCCUUUGGAGUUUUCCUCCAUCCCCCUCCGUCCCUCCCAGGGGAUGCCCGCAGGCCACAGUGGUCACUGAAGGUCAACCCUGAGCCGAAGGAGAAGUGGCCUCGACCCUGGGGACCCCUUCAGAAGUCUACCUGUGCCUGCGCCCGCCGGACCUGCCGGCCUCUUCCUUCUCAUCCAGGGGGCCUCUUCUCCAGCCUCACGGAGGUGGGAAGCUUGCUGGAGGCCCCUACCUGCCUUUUGGGGAAGACCCCGAGGCUGGCCCACGCCCUGCUGGCAGGACCCUUCCUGACUGGGUCCACCGUUCUUCUGGGUCUCACCACUUCUCCCAGCCCCUGGGCUGCUUCCUCUCUCCCGUGUCUGGGACCCCAGAGGCACCACUUCCAUUCCAUACAAGAGUCUUGCUCAGUCGCCAGGCUGUAGUGCAGUGGCACGAUCUCAGCUCACUGCAGCCGCCACCUCCCAGGUUCAAGCGAUUCUCCUGCCUCAGCCUCCCGAGUAGCUGAGACUACAGAGCACCAUGGCCUGGCAAGGUCCGACGUUUUCCAAGGAUCCUGGCUGAGCUCCUGUGGAAGCUGCUUCUUACACUGAUGUGGUCCCUCGGCUGGCAGGCCCUUCUGCGGCCAACCAGGUGACACCUGCCAGUUAUGAGGGACAGGUAGGAGAGGAUGGGCUUUCCAUCAGAAAAAAAAAAAAAAAGGUUUUCCAAACUGCUUUUCUUUCAAAUUUUAAUCUUAAGACUAACCUACAUUAAUUUCUUAUUUUU
rnacentral:lncRNA from 10 species